rnacentral:lncRNA from 1 species
UUCCGGCCGGACCCGGCGGCGGAGCCCUGUCGGCCCGAGGGCUCCCCCACCCCGGGCCGGGCCUCGCUGCCCCUCGGGUGAGCCCAGUGCAGCGGGUUUGGCUGGUGUGGGCACAGGGGUGCUCGGGAAUCAACAUGCGCUUUGUGUUGUACCACUCUGCUAGUUAAAGCAAGGGUUAACGCUUGCAAAGUCUGUCGUACUUUGGCGUUUUGCUUUAUGAAAAGUUAUUGUUGUUGUUUUGGUGUUUGCUCAGGAGCCCUGUGAGAUUUAACCCGACUUGCCUCCUAGGCUUUGCCAAAAGCCUGGAGUGAUAGAUAAGGGGUGUGAACAUCCACUCGUAUUUCCACAGGAUGUUAGGAUUGGGUAACCUUAGAAAAUAAAAAGGGCAGUUACCUUACUGCUAAUAACAACAGCAGCAACAACGAAAUACAGAAACUUCCACCAUUCGUGCUGGUGUAAUGUGGAGGCAUUCAGCAGAACCAUGGUAGUUACUUCACCCCCUGCAUGGAUUGACUUCAAGUGCACCGUUGUGUUCUGAAGUCCAUUCCCGAGUGUUUGUCCAGGCUUGUCCUAUAAUAGGUGUCAUUGCAUAAGAGUUACAGGGAGCAAAGAGCGUGCCGAGUUUCUUUCACUCUUCUAAGGUUCUGUGCUCACAUCUUAAACUGUGCCAAACUCUACCCUGAAAAGAGAAGGGCACAGCUUGGUAAACUGCCCUGUGAAAUUCAGUGGAAAAAAAAAAAAAAAGAAGAAAUUAUUCUUUUCUUCCUCCUACUCACAAAUCUGAUUAUUGCAGUGCAUAGUGCAUCUGGGAUUGAAAGCAGCAAGAGGAAUCUCAGAAGUUCAAGGGUACUGAAAUCUCAUCAGUCUGGUAUGUUGUUCUCUUCAAACUCCUGGAAUAGCAAGUCGAAUUCUUUGUAUGUGAGAGCCUCCUUAGUUACAGCUAAGGAUAAGUUUCCUGCUAGGUUUCUAGGAUCUUGGCUUUUCAUCAGCAAUUGCAUUCUCGGGAAGUAAUGUGCUACUAAGAACUACGAAUGUGUAUUGUUGGGCUUCUGUAGAAGAUUGUUUUUGGUAGUGGUAGGACAAUGAACCCAAGCUCUGGGGACCUUCAGUCAACAUACACUCUGAACUUGUUUUCAUCUUGCUUAUCCAGCCUGGAAAUUCCAGGUAGUUCUGCAGACUUUCAAAACUGAAGUCAGGCUGGAAAGGAGCUACUGCUAGCAGACUUUGCAGAGUGAUGUACUGCACACCGAUGUAUUGAAGAAUGCAUAAUAUUAAAAUAAAUGUUCAUUUCUUCAGAUAGGGAUUUUUUUC